rnacentral:rRNA from 1 species
UCCUUUAUUACUUAGGACUAGAGAGUUGUUGCGGUAGGCGGAAUGUGUAGUGUAGCGGGAAUGCUUAGAGAUUACCCAGACACCGAUUGGGAAAGCAGCUUACCAAGCUAUAUCUGACGUGAGGCACGAAAGCGUGGGGAGCAAACAGGAUUAGAUACCCUGGUAGUCCACGCAGUAAACGAUGAUAGCUCGUGUCAGCGAUACAAUGUUGGUGACUAAGAGAAAUCGAUAAGCUAUCCACCUGGGGAGUACGUUCGCAAGAAUGAAACUCAAAGGAAUUGACGGGGGCCCGCACAAGCGGAGGAACAUGUGGUUUAAUUCGAUGAUACGCGAGGAACCUUACCCGGGCUUGAAAGUUAGUGACGGAUCUGGAAACAGGUCUUCCCUUCGGGGCACGAAACUAGGUGCUGCAUGGUUGUCGUCAGCUCGUGCCGUGAGGUGUCGGGUUAAGUCCCAUAACGAGCGCAACCCCUACCGUUAGUUGCCAUCAGGUCAAGCUGGGCACUCUGGCGGGACUGCCGGUGUAAGCCGAGAGGAAGGUGGGGAUGACGUCAAAUCAGCACGGCCCUUACGUCCGGGGCGACACACGUGUUACAAUGGUAGGUACAGAGGGCAGCUACCCUGCGAAGGGAUGCGAAUCUCGAAAGCCUAUCUCAGUUCGGAUUGGAGGCUGAAACUCGCCUCCAUGAAGUUGGAUUCGCUAGUAAUCGCGCAUCAGCCAUGGCGCGGUGAAUACGUUCCCGGGCCUUGUACACACCGCCCGUCAAGCCAUGGGAGCUGGGGGUGCCUGAAGACCGUGACCGCAAGGAGCGGUUUAGGGCAAAACCGGUGACUGGGGCUAAGUCGUAACAAGGUAGCCG